GGGUGUAGCUGAGUGGUAGAGCACUUGCUUAGCAUGCAUGAGAUACUGGGUUCAAUCCCCAGCCCUCCCA
rnacentral:tRNA from 1 species